ACAGCUCACAUGGCCUUCCCUCCUGCAGUCCAAAAUUCCAAAAGUCAAUAAAAUGUAAGCAAAUUACAAACCAUCAGAAAAGAAGUAACAGGCAUGGAAUGAACACAAAAUUACAGUAAGAUAGUACAUGGUGUCCUACAUACAUAUUAUAAAUCUCAAUUCAGUUCCAGUCACUGACAAGGACUCAGCAAUAUUAACCACAAACCUUGACUAGCAAAUUACUUUCUCAACGUGACUAACCAAAAGAUACCCUAAUCAAUAGAUAAAAAAUAAUAGUUUUGCAGAGAAGCAAGAAGAAACACAUCAUAGCUCAAAUGAUCUUGCCUAAAGCAGUUGAAGUGAAGAGCUUCAAGACUGAAAAACAAAGGUAACAGUAGAGUAUGUGAUUGAACUGAAACCACUUGCACAUUCAAUCACCAAUAACAAAAUAAGGACAUAAACAUGAAACUAAUUACUACCUAGGCAAAUCACAUUUUUCAUAUGUCAAGGAAAGCCUCAUAUGAUAGUGGAUUAUUGGUAUAUAGAACUUCAAUAGUAAUUAUUAAACAACAAAAUGAUUAUAACAUAUAGAGACUAAUUCUUAUCCUCCUCAACCAAGCAAAUUAUUCUUGCUAGGCUUAAACAUCUUAGAUCAGUAUGAUCCAAUGAUAGUGUUACUUACAAGUCUUGCUACAAGUUAUCUGUUCCUACAAGUAAUUCAUUUGAAAACUAGAAUUUUGUAAAAUUCCAUUCAAUUUAUUUCUUUUUGGUCGAUUCACAUGUUUGGAAUGAAAAUUUUUAAUUUUUUUAACUUUACAAAAAUCAUUUUAAUAAAAAUAGAAAUCAAUUAUAAUUGUGUGAAAAUUCAAUUGAAUUCAUUUUUUUUAAAUGAUUUAUGCCAAAUAAAGCCCUUUAACCCUUUUGGUAAGAUUCUAGAUCCCAAAAAAUAAACUCUAUAAACCCAAUUAAUAAUCAACAAUCAGUCAGCAUAACAAAUAUUAAAAGUGUUGGGAUACAAAUUUUCGUAAUUUAGGUUUGUUUUUUCCUAAAAACUGAUAAAAUCCUUUCCAAUUUUUACUUCCAUCAAAUUUCAGCGAAAAAUAAAUCGAGGAUGUCAAAAUCAUUAGGCAGCUAGAUCUACGCCACAACUUGUUCCAAUAACUUCAAUCAGAUCAAAUCUAAAACAAAACCCAUUAUUUCUGACCUAUUGGCCUAGAAAAACACGAAAACAUUAAAUUACAGCCAUGUAAGGAUACACAUGAACAUCAGAUCCAAAUAUUAAUUAAGCUAAAACACGCAAAAUUUCAUUUCCCUAGAAUCAGAGUUAUAGAGUAAUCCAAUAAUGAUA
rnacentral:misc_RNA from 1 species